rnacentral:rRNA from 1 species
AUACGGAGGGUGCAAGCGUUAAUCGGAAUUACUGGGCGUAAAGCGUACGUAGGCGGUUCGUUAAGUUAGAUGUGGAAGCCCCGGGCUUAACCUGGGAACUGCAUUUAAAACUGGCGAACUAGAGUUGAGUAGAGGGGAGUGGAAUUUCAGGUGUAGCGGUGAAAUGCGUAGAGAUCUGAAGGAACACCAGUGGCGAAGGCGGCUCCCUGGACUCAAACUGACGCUGAGGUACGAAAGCGUGGGUAGCAAACGGGAUUAGAAACCCCUGUAGUCC